rnacentral:lncRNA from 1 species
GCCGACCCCCAACUCUGGAACGCAGAGGACAUCAGGGACAAUUGGAAAUUACUGGCCAUUGGCUGGUCUGAUAACUUUCCACCAGAACAAGGAAAUCUCCAUUCCUGCAGCGUGUUUGGACUCGGGCGGGGCCUUCAGUCAGUCUCAUGGCAGGAGCAAACCCACUGAUUCAAGUCCAGAACACACUCUACAGUCUGCAGUUCACUCCAUACAGCCUGGUUCAUCACCAUCAACGCAUGCAUCAGCACACUCCUCGUCAGAGAGCCUUCACCCCCAUGCUGCACCAGCCCUCCUCCGUCCCACCUGCUCCAACUGCAACGGCAACUCAAGACAGUAGUCUCCAGUCCAACAUGCAGCACCUGAAGCCGCCUCCCGCUGCAGUCACUGCCUUUCACAGGGCGACACAGAGAUCCUUCAGCACAAAACGAGGAAGACUUGGUGCCCUGCAUGUUUGCAUCGCGUGGAAGAUUUAUUACCACAAACAACUCAAGAAAAUGCAGCAGAAACCCAACAGUCCCCAUCGAGAGCCGACACCUGAGAAUCCAUCUGCUGUCGUCAGACCAGACUCGGUCCAACACGAGCGAUCGGAUCAGCCCUCGAGCAAACGUGCAAAUCCAGGCCCUUCAUGUGGACAGUUUGCAUAUAGAAACACUGUUGACAGGAGGGAAACGGGCCUCUCCACAUCUUCACCAGCAUCCGCGACCAAGACGGAGAAACUGGAGCAGCCGCAGCUGCAGCCGCAGAGGAAAGAGAGACUGGUUGAUGAGAACCACAGAGGCCACCGAACGGACACAACAGAGGAUUUACCACUCGGAGUCGAACCUUGGGAUCCAUCAGUGACCCGUGAACUUGACGGCACGCGCGGCUCACGUGACAGGAAGAGGAAGCGCGAGGGUGGCAGCUUCCUCAAACUGAAAAGGGCGAAGCGGGAGACUGUCGUGGACCACUUUCCCUCCAUCAAUAUUUGGCACGAUCCGUCUGCAUUCAGUUCAACUCAUACCCAUCCGUCUCCGUGCACCAUACCUGUGCAACAUUUGAGUGGUUUGUCUGUUUUGUAUCCUAACAGCAGUAGUUUUAAUGUUACCCGCACUCCUGGGGGACGCUUCCCUUACUCAGGAGCUGAAAUGCAUCCCUACCAAGCUGCAUCAUGGGAGCCAACGUGGGACAUAAGAGAGGACCUCCACUCCAGACACAAUGACUACGCACAGAACGCCCCCAGUGGGAUCAGGAUACCGCUUGUAGCACAGAUGCAAAAAGCAUAUUUUCGUGAUUUCUCUGCACCGUCUCUUCUUUUCCCUCGGGCUUUGAGGAAGCAGGAGACGGCAGAGAUUCAAGGGUGGGACGCUCCUGUCGUCUGCUCGUCUACACUCCUGUCAUGA